CAGGUCUUGACAUCCUCUGACACUCCUAGAGAUAGGAUUUUCCCCUUCGGGGGACAGAGUGACAGGUGGUGCAUGGUUGUCGUCAGCUCGUGUCGUGAGAUGUUGGGUUAAGUCCCGCAACGAGCGCAACCCUUGAUCUUAGUUGCCAGCAUUCAGUUGGGCACUCUAAGGUGACUGCCGGUGACAAACCGGAGGAAGGUGGGGAUGACGUCAAAUCAUCAUGCCCCUUAUGACCUGGGCUACACACGUGCUACAAUGGAUGGUACAAAGGGCAGCGAAACCGCGAGGUGGAGCCAAUCCCAUAAAACCAUUCUCAGUUCGGAUUGCAGGCUGCAACUCGCCUGCAUGAAGCCGGGAUCGCUAGUAAUCGCGGAUCAGCAUGCCGCGGUGAAUACGUUCCC
rnacentral:rRNA from 1 species